GUCUGGUUGAAUUCAAAAAUCAGUCUGACCUGCCCACUGAUAUUUUUUUAAAAGGCCGCGGUAUAAUGACCGUGCAAAGGUAGCAUAAUAAUUAGUUUUUUAAUUGAAAACUGGUAUGAAAGGUCGGACAAAAAGUGAACUAUCCCAAAACUUAUAAUUGAACUUAACUUUUAAGUGAAAAGGCUUAAAUAACCUUAAAAGACGACAAGACCCUAUAAAACUUUAUUUAAAAAUUAACAUUUCUUAAAUUAUAAGUUUAUUAAGAAUAUUAUUUUUUGUGUAUUUUGUUGGGGCGACAGAAGUAAAUAUAAACCUGCUUUUUUCUUAUAUACAUUUAUCUUUGUUUAUAGUGACCCUUCAUUAGAAGAUUAAAAGAAAAAGUUACUUUAGGGAUAACAGCGUUAUUUUUUUUAAGAGUCCUAAUCGACAAAAAAGUUUACGACCUCGAUGUUGAAUUAAAGUUCCUUUACAGUGCAGCAAUUGUAAAAGUAGGUCUGUUCGACCUUUAAAACUUUACAUGAUUUGAGUUCAAACCGGCGUGGG
rnacentral:rRNA from 1 species